UGGGGAAUUUUCCGCAAUGGGCGAAAGCCUGACGGAGCAACGCCGCGUGAGGGAUGAAGGCCUCUGGGCUGUAAACCUCUUUUCUCAAGGAAGAAGAACUGACGGUACUUGAGGAAUAAGCCACGGCUAAUUCCGUGCCAGCAGCCGCGGUAAUACGGGAGUGGCAAGCGUUAUCCGGAAUUAUUGGGCGUAAAGCGUCCGCAGGCGGCCCUGUAAGUCUGUCGUUAAAGCGUGGAGCUUAACUCCAUUUCAGCGAUGGAAACUACAGGGCUUGAGUGUGGUAGGGGCAGAGGGAAUUCCCGGUGUAGCGGUGAAAUGCGUAGAUAUCGGGAAGAACACCAGUGGCGAAGGCGCUCUGCUGGGCCAUAACUGACGCUCAUGGACGAAAGCCAGGGGAGCGAAAGGGAUUAGAUACCCCUGUAGUC
rnacentral:rRNA from 1 species